UGCAUGUCUAAGUAUAAGCAAUUAUACAGCGAAACUGCGAAUGGCUCAUUAAAUCAGUUAUCGUUUAUUUGAUAGUACCUUACUACAUGGAUAACCGUGGUAAUUCUAGAGCUAAUACAUGCUGAAAACCCCGACUUCGGAAGGGGUGUAUUUAUUAGAUUAAAAGCCAAUGCCCUCCGGGGCUCACUGGUGAUUCAUGAUAACUUCUCGAAUCGCACGGCCUUGCGCCGGCGAUGGUUCAUUCAAAUUUCUGCCCUAUCAACUUUCGACGGCUGGGUCUUGGCCAGCCGUGGUGACAACGGGUAACGGAGGGUUAGGGCUCGACCCCGGAGAAAACGCCUGAGAAACGGCGUUUACAUCCAAGGAAGGCAGCAGGCGCGCAAAUUACCCAAUGCCGACACGGCGAGGUAGUGACGAGAAAUACUGAUACAGGGCUCUUUUGGGUCUUGUAAUUGGAAUGAGUACAAUUUAAAUCUCUUAACGAGGAACAAUUGGAGGGCAAGUCUGGUGCCAGCAGCCGCGGUAAUUCCAGCUCCAAUAGCGUAUAUUAAAGUUGUUGCAGUUAAAAAGCUCGUAGUUGAACCUUGGGCCUGGCUGGCCGGUCCGCCUCACCGCGUGCACUGGUCCGGCCGGGCCUUUCCCUCUGGGGAGCCCUAUGCCCUUCACUGGGCGUGGCGGGGAACCAGGACUUUUACUGUGAAAAAAUUAGAGUGUUCAAAGCAGGCCUAUGCUCGAAUACAUUAGCAUGGAAUAAUAGAAUAGGACGUGUGGUUCUAUUUUGUUGGUUUCUAGGACCGCCGUAAUGAUUAAUAGGGACAGUCGGGGGCGUCAGUAUUCAAUUGUCAGAGGUGAAAUUCUUGGAUUUAUUGAAGACUAACUACUGCGAAGGCAUUCGCCAAGGAUGUUUUCAUUAAUCAGGAGCGAAAGUUAGGGGAUCGAAGACGAUCAGAUACCGUUGUAGUCUUAACCAUAAACUAUGCCGACUAGGGAUCGGGCGGUGUUAUUUUUUGACCCGCUCGGCACCUUACACGAAAGUACAAGUUUCUGGGUUCU
rnacentral:rRNA from 1 species